UUUUGAUCAAAUGAAUGCAUCCUUACUGAGUAAAACUGUUAUUUUCUUUCAAAAAUAAAUCUUACUGAUCCCAAAUUUUGAAUGGUAUUGUAUAAAUUGGAUUUCUAAAACUCUUUCCCCUUUUUAAAAAAAAAUUGUAGUCCAUGCUUUUUUUUUGGUAAGAUGAGACAUAAAGGGAUACAACAAGAUAUACUAAAAAUAUCCAAAUCAGAAUGUUGAUCAGAAUCAGAAUAAUGCUUUUUCUUUCACUUAAACCCUUUUCUUUUUUUCACCAUCUCUUUAUUCCAACACAUGCUUUCCUAUCUUAAAUCUAACAAAGUUUAGCUAAAGUUGAAUUGUUUUACUUCUUUUACACACUGGUGGAAAAUCUAUGACAGUAUAACACAUCACUGUUAGUAAUGGUCAGUAUUGAAUGACAAAUCACCCAGAAAUAGACAGGAAGGAUAUUGAAAAGGAACUAAAAGGUAGAAAAUGUGUGAGAAGAAAAAUAAACCCACAAAAACCUUGUGAGUAUGUAUAAAUGCUUGCUUCCUCUCCUGAUUAAAAAACGUAGUGUUUUCUUAUCACCUAGUUAACUUCCCUUUUCGUACAGACUAGUUUGAUCCUGAUAAUCAAAUGUUGCACUCAUCAAUAGAGGAUGCACAUGAUAAACUCCCCGUUCAGCACUCGGCCCUUGUUAUUGCCUGCUGUAUCUUUCUAGAAGGGAGGACAGUAUUAUAGUGAUCAGCUGGCGGGGAGGGUCUCAAGACCACAGCGGUCCAACAUCCCUCAUCGCCGCCUGAUCAUCAUCCGCUUCUGCUCUGCAAACAUCAUGCUGGACAUCUUGAUAUUGAUGUUCUUCGCCAUCAUCGGCCUCAUGUUCCUGUCCUACAUCAUCUACAUGCUGUGAUCGCCAUGGCAUCCAUGAGAGCGGAUGCCGGAUUCACGUCCUCGGGGGUAUUUGAACACAAAGCUUACAGGAAGAAGCGCUGUGUUUGUGGGAUCAUGUCUCUGGAUCCUGAGAUGAGGAACAGCUGUAACGAGAAUUCAGUGGAGGACGCAGCAGGAUACACUUACAAGAUGAGACUUCACACUUCCUUCUCAUCUCUCUGUCAUACAAACACUUUUCCUACAGGAUAGCACCUAACACACACACACACACACACACACACAAACCUACACCAGACUGCUGUGUUCCUCCUACCUUUUAUUUAGAAGACACUAUUCAAAUAUAUUUUCCUAAAGGCGCAGUCCAUGGCAGAAACAGUAGGCUAACGUUACCACAAACUCUAAAAUAUAUGGCUGUCUGGCUAUUAUUUGUGUCCUAUUCUUCUGUCUAUUAUUUCUGCACAUGUCUAUCUGAAAACAAAUGCAUGUAUUUUAUGCCAAUGGAUGCUCAAAAAUGACCAAUUGAUUUUCAGAAUAAAGAGCCUUUGUGAGGAUGAAACGGCC